UUUCAUAUGUGGGAGCCACUAGGCCUCCUCUUUUCAAGGGCUAAGAGAAAUUUAAAUCUCUCCCGAUUACUGACCCUGAAAACCACACUGCGUUUCUGGCAGAUGAUGUUAAAAAAGUGUGGUGGAACUCCCUCUGGUACAAUUGAGUGCAGACCCUUGUCUUAAGGAAAUACCAUUUGUCAGGGGUGGGAGAGAAAUAUGGAUCUCUGUUUCUAUUUAGAAAUCAUGGCAACAAGUAGAACAUUUUCUGUCCACAUCCAGAGGGAGAAGCCACAGGAGGAAAUACCUUGAAGCUUGUGGGACGUGCCUGGUGAGGAUAUUCCGUUCAAUGACACAUCUGUCAUCUUUACAUGUUGACCAGCCAACAAGAACUUGCUGAGUACAGGACGGACAAGGUUGGCAUUCCGCUGGCUCUACAGGGGAUCAACGGGAAGGAUGGAGAGAACAGCUUGUGUGCCAGGUGGGGAGACGGACAUGGACCAAUACUGAAUAACCUACAACACAAUGGUUUAGAAAGAGAAUUCAAGGUAUGUGGACUGGACUUAAGCCAUGGCUAAGCUCACAAAAGACUUCCUGGAAGAAGAUGUACAGCCUAUGGUGAGGCACAACCUCCCUGUCUGUACUGCGAGUUCUUGGGUCAAGACACAACUCACCUCUACCUAUCUGUACACUGACAGCAAAGUCCUUUUAAUAUCAAACAGAAAUGAAUGACAAUGAUGGUGACCACAUUUCCCAAACCCACGAACGGUCAGGUUUCUGUGGCGCCUCUCCAUUUGAGAGGCUCUCUGAAAGCCAGUCGUGGAUAGCAUGCUUCCAUGUGUAUGUAAAUAACAAGACAUAUGGAACAUGUUAAAUCGGAAGACUGUUCCAUAUCCAGAAUUACUAAUGUACUAAUAAUCCUUUGAAUCCUCAAAAAAAACAAAAAACACUAUACUUUUAUGCCAAAGUAGAUGGAAUGGGUGACUAGAGAUAAAGCUGAAGAAAUUUCAGAUUUAAAAUCUGACUGGCCCAUUCACCAGCAGACUUAGGAAAGUGCUAACUGCGAAGCUGGCCAGUAUUCAGCUCGACAGUCCUAAAAACAAACGGAACCCUUUGGAGCUGGAAAGUGGUAUCAUAAAAGCCGCCGAAUGCGGUGCUUCUAGAGCGGCCCACCAGGAAAAUAUGACAGUUUACAUCUUUACGUAGCCUAAUGUACAGUGGGAAUAUAAAUAUCUCGUUCAGGCCCCAGUCACUGCCUGGAAUGGGAUGCUUUCCUUAACAAGAAGCAGAUGAGAGGCCCAGAAGCCAAACCUCUUAUUCUGUUGGUCUGAAGGCUGUAGUUUUCAGUCGGUCAGCACAGAGAGUGGCAAUUCAGGGAGGGAAGGCACUGCAUGUGUUUCCUUGGUCAGGACAAAAGCUUGUAGCUCUUUUCCUGGGCCCCCUGAGGCUCUCGUACGUUGAGUGUCCCGCAUGUGGUCAGCGGCUUUACCCACCUUUCCUUGGGCCACCAGCUCCCUCUGGGCUGCUGAGGCCGAUUUGACCAGGGCGCUUGUGGCAGCAGCAAUGGAUUUAGCAGCUUCCAAGAUCUGUUCCUCAAAGUCCAGGGUCUCAUCCGCUUGCUAUAACCAAAAGAAAACAGCAUCACAUUCAAUUCAUAUCCACAAAGGGCUCUUUCUUCCAAACUACUUACUGCCGGGUCACCUGGCUCUUCACCUGCCUAUUGUUUUUUGUUGACAAACCACACCUGAAAUGGGAUGGUUCCUUAACAAGAAGCAGAUGACAGGUCCCCUGUGCAAACUUUCAGGACUCUUAAGUCAGUUUGGUUAAGCCACCCUCGGGUCACAGUGUGGAAGAUGUGGCUGGUACCUUUCAGGCAUUAAGAGACAAUGGCCAGGCACAGCAAUAGUUUUCUUUGUAUGUGUGGUACAAUAUAUAUAACACAAAAUUUACCCUUUUACCUAAUGUUAAGUAUUAAUACACUGACACUGUUGUACAACAGCAAUACCAGGAUAGAAAGGUCAGGAUGCCUCUCCACCUGCAGCCCCUUCCCCCUAACUCCAAAAGGAAAAAGCCGUUAGCUUGACAUCCCACGGAAAUUUGCAGACAGACUCAUUUUCUGGAACAAAAUCUUUAAAGAUAUACACUCACUGUGAACAAAAUACACUCAAAUGGUUUUAGCAACAUCAAUAACUGAAACCAAAAUAAUAAAAUCAAAACAGUAGAUCAUAGCACUUACUCUCUUCUAGAGCCUAAGCCUCAAAAAUGGACUUUAAAAAAAAAAAAAGGAAAGAUGGCUACCAGUUCUGAAAAGUUGUCUUUUUCCUGGGUAAAAAUCAAAGCCAAACAGCACUGGCAUUUCUGUGGCUGAGCACUGAGAGAGUUAUAGACCAAGCACACAUUGCCCAGUGGUGAAAAAGAAACCAGGGCAACACGACAUCAAGGUGGAGCUUGUUCUGUCCUCUGGACACCCGAGGCACGGGAUCCACCUUGGGAAGAACACUGGACACCACUGUGUAGGUGUUAUCAGACCAUUAGGGUUCUGGUCUAAAUUCACCACCAUCUCCUUUGCUGCUAAAACAACUCAGGAAGUUGAAAAGAAGCUUUGGAGAAGUGGAACAAGUAUAAAGACUGUGGUCCCAGGCUCAUGGGUUGGAGCAUCACAGUUUUGCCGGGGGGUGGUCAGAUUAGACCUGUGUGACAACAUUCCGUGACUCUAGGUCAAUUUGGUUAAGCUGCCCUCAGGUCACACAGUGUUGAAGAUGUGGGUGGUACCUUUCAGGCAUUGAGAGAUGAUGGCCAGGCCCAGCAAUACUUUUCUCUGUAUGUGUGGUAAAAUAUAUGUAACACAAAACUUACCCUUUUAUCCAAUUUUAAGUGUACAAUUCAGUGGCAUUACGGACAUUCACACUUUGUGCCAACAGUAGUAGAUUUUUAAGAGUGCCUACUGUGUACCAAGUAUUUUGUUAGGCACUUCUACAUACAAUGACUUAAUUCUCACCAAAAAAAAAAAAAAAGAUCGUAUAUUGGAAUUAUCUUUAUCCUUAUUUUUACAGUGAGAAAACCCAGGCUCAGGAAGGUAGAUGAUUGGGCCAAGGUGAUGUGGCAGCAUGAAGCAUCUAAACCAGAAUCUAAACCUAAAUCUGACUCCAAAAUGAGGCACUUUAACUAGCCAAAGCCACCCCUUGGGGCAUCAGUGAGAAACGGUUUGUGCCAGAGGUUCAAAGUCAGCUUGCUAACGCUCCCAUGUGAAACGUCAGACAGGAGGGAUACAAGUCUUCUCCAGCUCUCCAUUCAUAAUGCCACAUCUUGAACCAUGAAAGGUGCUAAUCCUUUUUCUUUAUAACCUACAUUAUCAAAAUACAAUUUCAAUGCACUUCUAAUGGAUCUGAAUGAUGGUAGCAUUUCAGAAGUUCUGAGACAGACUUGUGCAUUCUUUCUUAUUGCUGACCAAGUCUUGCUCUAAGAGUAUUCAGGACAGACAUGAAUUUAGUUCUACUGGACUCAUUUUGGACUGGUGGAGUAUAGAAUUUGGUGACUGAAAUACGGAAAUGAUCCAUUGUAAGACACUCUCGUAUAAAAGGAACUCUUGUGUAGUCAGUCCCCAAAUAAAUUAUAGUAGGCUCUAAUUUAUAUAUAUUAAAUAUAUAAAUAAUGUAUAUUUUAAUAACCGUGAGAUUAAGAGCUUUUCUGGAAAUUCAUUCUGCCAAAGAAUGUCAGGCACAUAACAGAUUAAAGCACCAGGGAAAUCACAGAAUUUUUGACUCCAAACUCCUCAUCUCAUUUUGCAGAUGAGGAAACGGAGGCUUGUGGGAGCUCUUCAUGGCGGCUCCUGAAGUCUCUCACGCUCUUGCCUCAGGUGUCCUCAGCUACUCUAUGGGUUCCACGCCCGAGUCCACUUUACAGUGUGGAAUACUCUGUCAGACUUUUUAUUUCCCAAAUUUUAAGAUUUUCAAAAAUGGAAUUUCUUUAAAAUUAAGUGCUACGUCUUUAGCAGGGGUAGAUCUGAUAGGAUCAUCUCAUCACAACUGAUUUUACGAGCCUCUCCCACAUCUUCCGCUGCCUGGAGUUUUUUUUUUUUUUAAACACAAGCUUGUAAUAAUAGAUAUUCAACUUGGAAAUAUUUUUGACACCCACAGAUUUUUCUGGUAAUGGCAACUGUUGUAAUGUUCUUUGACGAAUUUUUAUUUUUCUUCCCACAACAUCUCUAUGCUUUAAAACAGAUACGGCAGAAGUUCUUAUCUCUGGGAGACAUUUGCUCUGAUAAGAAAGUAUUAAGAUUCUCCCUAGAAAGGCUGACUGGGAUGGCACAGGGAUGGAGGGCUAAUGUUAGAUACUACAGUUUGGGCAGAGUACCCUGAUGAAACCUGCCUUCUGACUGCUGUGUCCCUAUUUUCCUGUAUGCCAGGUUUAUGACUAAGACGCACUGCCCACCCUACCUCUACUGCUGAAAUCAGACACCAAUACUUAACGUGUCCUCAUACCAUACAACUUCUAGCCUUAGAGAAAAUGGCAUCUCUCCAAGCCAAGGAGACAUGGUCAAAAACCCAGGUGCCCCAUCAGUUCCAGCUCCCAUUAGCAUGCAGAAUGGAAUAGGGGAGAAGGUAGGAAGGACACACACUUAACCAUAUCACAAGAAGGAAACAGAAUUGGCUUGGUCUUCAAAGGACUUUCCUAAAUAAAAGAAUCCCAAUUAAAAUGCAGAAUUUGUUAAUGGAACAGUCCCCACUGCAGCUGAGAGACUGGGGAGACUAAGAAGAACAACAUGGUGCACAGUGACUCCGGGGAAGAAUCUGCAGGCUGGGCCCUCUCCUGGAGCUCUCAUUCUCACCUUCUCACCAGAGAGGCUCACCUGGUUGGUGUCUUAAGGCCCUCUUUAGCUGAGAUGUUACUGACCUGACCAGGGUCAGUCAGAUCUCUCCUUCUGGUUUAUAAAGGGGAUAACGGAAUCCUCGCUUCUGGGUGUUUCAUUCUUUCCACAAUUGGAUCAUGUAAAGACCCGCUAAAAUAAUCUUUUAAAGAUUAUGACUAAUCCUGUGCAUGUGGCUAUUUAUGUUUCUCUAUAACUACUGGCAUCAAGCUAAAGCAAGGAACUUUAGAAAACAAUUUCAUUAAACAGGAUAAAUUGAUAGUCUUUAGCCAUAAAAAAGAGUGAGAUCCUGCCAUUUGCAACCACAUGGCUAGAACUGGAGAUCCUUAUGUUAAGUGAAAUAAGCCAGGCACAGAAAGACAAACAUUGUAUGUUCCCACUUAUUUGUGGGAUCCAGAAAUCAAAACAAUUGAACUCAUGGACAUAGAGAGUAGAAGGAUGGCUCCCAGAGGCUGGGAAGGGUAGUGAGGGGCUGGGAGGUAGGGAUGGUUCAUGGGUACAAAAAAAUAGAAUAAGACCUACUACAUGUGACAGCACAACAGGGUGACUAUGGUCAAUAACUUAAUUGUACAUUUUAAAAUAAUUAGAACAGUGUAAUUGGAUUGUUUGUAACACAAAGGAUAAAUGCUUGAGAGGAUGGAUACCCCAUUCUCCAUGAUGUGCUUAUUUCACAUUGCAUGCCUGAUAUUGUUUGGCUGUGUCCCCACCCAAAUCUCAUCUUGAAUUGUAGCUCCCAUAAUCCCCACAUGUCAUGGGAGGGACCUGGUGGGAGGUAACUGAAUCAUGGGGGCAGGUCUUUCCUGUGCUGUUCUCGUGAUAGUGAGUAAGUUUCAUGAGAUCUGUUGGUUUUAUAAAGGGGAGUUCCCCUACACAAGCCCGCUUGCCUGCCGCCAUAUAAGAUGUAUCUUGCUUCCCCUUCGCUUUCCGCCAUGAUUGUGAGGCCUCCCCAGCCAUGUGGAACUGUGAGUCAAUUAAACCUUUUCUUUAUGUAUCACCCAGUCCUGGGUAUGUCUAUAUUAGUUGUGUGAGAACAAGCUAAUACAAUGCCUGUAACAACACAUCUCAUGUAUUAUAUAUAUAUAAUAUAAUAUAUAUUAUAUAUAUAUACCUACUAUGUACCCUCAAAAACCAAACAGAAAAAAAUUUUAAAGAAAAAUAAAUAAAUAAAUAAAUAAAUGGAUAGCCCUCACUGCAGAAUCACCUGAGGAUCUGGUUAAAGAUGCAGAUGCUGUUUUGGUAGGUCUGGGGUGGGAGUCAGGAAUCUGUAUUUCUUACAGAGGUGGUUACACACUACUCUGUAGGAAAUGCUGGCCUGGACUCAGGAAAACAAACACCAUUUAACUUAAACCUACCAGCCUGUGAUCCCCUCCAGGGUGAGACUGUGUUUUAUUCAACCUAUGUUUCUCUAGCACAAAAUCAGGCAGAGGAGCCCAUGUGAUGAUCAACAUUUGCUGAAUGAAUAUAUCCAUUCAAAAUGCAUUUCCCAAGUUCCAGAGUUCAGCCAGAGCACAACGCACAAGGUAGGAGAAGGAGAAAUACACAGAGUAAGCAUCCACAUCAUUAGCAUCCACUCCUGAGCCCUGGUGGACAGAUGCAUACACAGCUAUGAGCAAGUUCCUGCCCUGUUUGAGGCCUUGAGUUGUUAAUUGUACACUCUACUUGCAGCCUUCAACUGGAAUUCACAGUUUGUGACAUUUAGUCAUGCAUGGACAUACAAAUGUAAACACAGUGGCAUUUUACCAAGAGGCACUCUUAUGUAACAAGACAGCACUGGGAAAAAGAGUGAACAGAUGUACAAACUAAGCUUCUACUCUGCCUAAUGAAGGUGUUUGUUGCUGCCUCUGCAUGCUGAAUUAACUUCUCCUUUGAUAUACUGUUCUUUUCCCCCUUCCCCUUCAUUUGAAAAGGCUAUUUGGCCAGGUGCCCAUCAGCUCUAAGCAAUCGUCUUUCCUGGGCUGUCUGGCCAACUCUUGCUGAGGACAGAUUUAUCCCUACCUGGGCUUUUUGGUAGCUUCUAGAAAGGUCUGAGUACCCUGUAGUUGACCUCUUCCCUGCAUGCUGACCUUCCUUGCUCACCCUUUAAAAAGUCAGUGGUCUGGUGAGAUCCCUCUUGGGAAAGGCUAUAUAUUGGGUUGGCUCCCUUCCCCUGUUUCCCAGUUGGGAGAGUAUUUGGGACCCCUUUAUGUUGCUCUGAUGGGUUUAAAGUUUCAGUAGCUAUAUGUCCCCUGGAAGAGGAAAUGGUGGUGGUAGGGGAAGUGGUGUGGAAAGUGGAGAAGGUAAAAGGGACAGCCUUUCCUCAUGUUUCUUUUGACAUUUGGCCUUUCAUGGAUUCUGAGAACAUGGUCUUCACACUAAUUCAUUCAUCUUCUAAGCCUACUUCCCCUCCUAACCUAUCUGAUGGAGUCAUUACAAGCACGUGAUUAGUAUAUGUAAAGCAUGGCUGACUCAUAGGAGAUGCUCAAAAACUAUUAGCAAUUUCAUUAUCAAAAAUUGUUUUUUUCAGGUUUGGGGCUAAAUUAAUCUGUUUCUCUGUCUAAACCCUGUUAUGUAUCCAUAAUUCCAAUAAAAAUUCUUCUUGCUA
rnacentral:lncRNA from 1 species